CCUACGGGUGACAGCAGUGAGGAAUAUUGGUCAAGGGACGAGAGUCUGAACCAGCCAAGUAGCGUGAAGGAUGACUGCCCUAUGGGUUGUAAACUUCUUUUAUAAAGGAAUAAAACGAGGCACGUGUGCCGUUUUGCAUGUACGUUAUGAAUAAGGAUCGGCUAACGCCGUGCCAGCAGCCGCGGUAAUACGGAGGAUCCGAGCUUUAUCCGGAUUUAUUGGGGUUAAAGGGAGCGUAGAGGGGUUGUUAAGUCAGUUGUGAAAGUUUGCGGCUCCACCGUAAAAUUGCAAUUGAUACUGGCAGUCUUGCGUACAGUUGAGGUAAGCGGAAUUCGUGGUGUCGCGG
rnacentral:rRNA from 1 species